CAGCUCUCUGCCUGUGCUGUCAGCAGUCGGUUCUGCCCUUAGCGUGCCUCCCUCUGCUCGCUGCAGCAGGCCUUGAGCAGAAAACACAAAUCAAGGCUCGUCAGCGUCUGUCGUGCUGAAUAACCUCCUUAGAGACCAUCGCUUUUGUUGCUUAUAAAUGGCUGGACUGAACUUAGAUACUUUUCUUUGUACAAUUCAAACGCAAGAUGUUUUGUGUUGAUGUUGUGGUUCGAUAGCAAAAGGGAAAUUGGUCAUAAAAAGAGAAUAAAGCAAUUACAGUCUGACCUCAGCAUUCACAUAGCUGUUAAGGUAAGUUGUAGCGUAGUGCUAGUUUUGGUUUGCAUUAGAACGUGUUUAUGGCAGUAAUGCUAUCGGGACAAUGGCAGUGCUCUUAUGGGUGGUUUAGGGCAGCAGACUGGUGUCUGCAACCUUUUCCUUGUGGCAGUAAGGAUGCAGUUUGCACAGUGUAUGCGAAAUUGUAGAGCAGCUUCCAAUUGCUGGUAGCCCAGCAGGGUCAGAAAAGCAUCCCGUCUGUGACUUCAUAACUUCAGUGUCUUUGACCCCUCUGGGAGGCGGAGGCUCGGUGUUCCCGGAGCAGCAGGUAGCGGCCUCUGAAUGAGGUGAAUGAAUGGCCUCCUGUGAUGGGGCAGAUCAUUCAUUUCUGAGCUUUUGUCCACCUUGAGAAAAGGAAGAUCAGCCCUUUGUGCAAGUACUGCUCCAUCGCAUCACCUUUCUUGUAGCUGCAGCUGGAAACCAGCAUCUCAGCACGUGUAAAUGUGUUGUGCUGCAAUGCCAUUUGUGCUUCAGGAGAAGAGCAGAAAUGUUUCAGGAUUUUAGAUGAUGUUCCACAAAAUUCUAGACUCCGAGCUAAAUAGCUGUGCUGGAGAUGGAGCAGCUGCUCGAGGUUUGGGAAGAGGUGCACUUCUGUGUCCUGGUGCUUCUGCUGGUUGAGUGACUUCACAUCUAUCCUGGGACAUGAUGACAGGUCAGCCUCUGUAGCGUGGCUCUCUGAAGGCACUCCAACCAGCAGCAGCUGAUUGCAUUGGAAAACUUUGGCCUCCUGCAGCUGGCAUGCCUGCUGUUCCCUGGUCUGAGGCAGCCCAUAACGUCACUGAAGUGACUGUGCUGAAACUUCACAAGCGUUGCCUGUUUGUCUCACCUGAUCAGAAUCAGAUUUAGUGCCACGUUCACACAGUUGCAUUAUUUAGUUGUAUUUCCUUGGUCAGACUGCGCAGGGAUCAGCAAAGGCUUUGGCUGGCAGUGAUGUUUUGCUAAUAAAGACGUCUUUUCAC